UUGUAUGAUGCGUUUACUACAAUCUAACCACUUGUCUCUUUUUGCUCAGUGUGAAACUUUAUGCGGCAAGCUAAUUAAUUGAAACAUAAAAAUUAUUCCUGGAAUAUAGGGAAAGGAAGGUCCACACAUUGAGAGACUGCUUAUCAUUAGCUGUUACCGUUACCGAAGAACUUCUCCUUUGACCAAUGCAGUGUAGAUUGACGCUCGACAUAUCCCUCUACAUGCGUGUCUCCUGACCUUGGGUGCAGCAUAGUCUAACGCUCCACGUAUUAAUUCGCUAAUAAGUUCAAUAAUAAUUCACUAUACGGAACAAAGUAUAUGGUCAUAGAUAGUUACAUGGCAACGUGACAUCUCCGCCCUUAACAAGUUUCGCCAUGGCGUUUCGCCGCGUAGAUGCUUUGGCUUUUUCGACGUCACGUUCUGAUUUAUACGAAGAAAUGUGGAUGAUGGAGACGCAAGAUCGUAACAGUUUUUGAACUUCAAUAAAAGUUUAAAUUUCUGCGAUAAAUUGUUUAUGAAAUACUCGAGAAUUUCUAUUUCUCUUAUUAUACCUUUAACUUAUUAUAACAAGGUACAUAAUCUUAGUUUCAAAAUAAUAGAGAAUAAAACCUAC